rnacentral:rRNA from 1 species
AGUGAACGCUGGCGGUAGGCCUAACACAUGCAAGUCGAACGGCCGCACAGUAAGAGCUUGCUCUUACGGGUGGCGAGUGACGGACGGGUGAGGAAUACAUCGGAAUCUACUUUUUCGUGGGGGAUAACGUAGGGAAACUUACGCUAAUACCGCAUACGUCCUACGGGUGAAAGCAGGGGAUCUUCGGACCUUGCGCGAUUGAAUGAGCCGAUGUCGGAUUAGCUAGUUGGCGGGGUAAAGGCCCACCAAGGCGACGAUCCGUAGCUGGUCUGAGAGGAUGAUCAGCCACACUGGAACUGAGACACGGUCCAGACUCCUACGGGAGGCAGCAGUGGGGAAUAUUGGACAAUGGGCGCAAGCCUGAUCCAGCCAUACCGCGUGGGUGAAGAAGGCCUUCGGGUUGUAAAGCCCUUUUGUUGGGAAAGAAAAGCAGCAGGUUAAUACCCCGCUGUUCUGACGGUACCCAAAGAAUAAGCACCGGCUAACUUCGUG